rnacentral:rRNA from 1 species
AGUGAACGCUGGCGGCGUGCCUAAUACAUGCAAGUCGAACGGAAUUUAAAAGAGCUUGCUCUUUUAAAUUUAGUGGCGCACGGGUGAGUAAUAUAUAGCUAAUCUGCCCCUUGCUGGAGGACAACAGUUAGAAAUGACUGCUAAUACUCCAUACUCCUUUUUACCAUAAGAUAAAUCGGGAAAGAAUUUCGGCAAGGGAUGAGACUAUAUCGUAUCAGCUAGUCGGUGGGGUAACGGCCUACCGAGGCUAUGACGCGUAACUGGUCUGAGAGGAUGAUCAGUCACAUUGGAACUGAGACACGGUCCAAACUCCUACGGGAGGCAGCAGUAGGGAAUAUUGCGCAAUGGGGGAAACCCUGACGCAGCAACGCCGCGGAGGAUGACACUUUUCGGAGCGUAAACUCCUUUUGUUAGGGAAGAAUAAUGACGGUACCUAACGAAUAAGCACCGGCUAACUCCGUGCCAGCAGCCGCGGUAAUACGGAGGGUGCAAGCGUUACUCGGAAUCACUGGGCGUAAAGGACGCGUAGGCGGAUUAUCAAGUCCCUUGUGAAAUCUAACGGCUUAACCGUUAAACUGCUUGGGAAACUGAUAAUCUAGAGUAAGGGAGAGGCAGAUGGAAUUCUUGGUGUAGGGGUAAAAUCCGUAGAUAUCAAGAAGAAUACCUAUUGCGAAGGCGAUCUGCUGGAACUUAACUGACGCUAAUGCGUGAAAGCGUGGGGAGCAAACAGGAUUAGAUACCCUGGUAGUCCACGCCCUAAACGAUGUAUACCGGUUGUUGCUGUGCUAGUCACGGCAGUAAUCCACCUAACGGAUUAAGUAUACCGCCUGGGGAGUACGGUCGCAAGAUUAAAACUCAAAGGAAUAGACGGGGACCCGCACAAGCGGUGGAGCAUGUGGUUUAAUUCGAAGAUACGCGAAGAACCUUACCCGGACUUGAUAUCUAACAAAUCAUCCAGAGAUGGAAGAGUGUCUGCUUGCAGAAAUGUUAAGAC